UCCAGACUCCUACGGGAGGCAGCAGUGAGGAAUAUUGGUCAAUGGCCGGAAGGCUGAACCAGCCAAGCCGCGUGAAGGACGAAGGUGCCGAGCAUUGUAAACUUCUUUUGUCAAGGGACAAAAUCAGGCUCGAGAGCCUGACCGAGGGUACUUGAAGAAAAAGCAUCGGCUAACUCCGUGCCAGCAGCCGCGGUAAUACGGAGGAUGCGAGCGUUAAUCGGAAUUACUGGGCGUAAAGCGCUCGUAGGCGGUAUGUCAAGUCAAGGGUGAAAUCCCCGCGCUCAACGUGGGAACUGCCUUUGAAACUGGCAAACUGGAGUGUGUGAGAGGAUAGUGGAAUUCCAGGUGUAGGAGUGAAAUCCGUAGAUAUCUGGAGGAACAUCAGUGGCGAAGGCGACUAUCUGGCACAUAACUGACGCUGAGGAGCGAAAGCGUGGGUAGCAAACAGGAUUAGAUACCCCGGUA
rnacentral:rRNA from 1 species